AAUGCAGUCGAGCGACAGACGAGGAGCUUGCUCCUUUGACGUUAGCGGCGGACGGGUGAGUAACACGUGGGUAACCUACCUAUAAGACUGGGAUAACUUCGGGAAACCGGAGCUAAUACCGGAUAAUAUUUCGAACCGCAUGGUUCGAUAGUGAAAGAUGGCUCUGCUAUCACUUAUAGAUGGACCUGCGCCGUAUUAGCUAGUUGGUAAGGUAACGGCUUACCAAGGCAACGAUACGUAGCCGACCUGAGAGGGUGAUCGGCCACACUGGAACUGAGACACGGUCCAGACUCCUACGGGAGGCAGCAGUAGGGAAUCUUCCGCAAUGGGCGAAAGCCUGACGGAGCAACGCCGCGUGAGUGAUGAAGGUCUUCGGAUCGUAAAACUCUGUUAUUAGGGAAGAACAAACGUGUAAGUAACUGUGCACGUCUUGACGGUACCUAAUCAGAAAGCCACGGCUAACUACGUGCCAGCAGCCGCGGUAAUACGUAGGUGGCAAGCGUUAUCCGGAAUUAUUGGGCGUAAAGCGCGCGUAGGCGGUUUUUUAAGUCUGAUGUGAAAGCCCACGGCUCAACCGUGGAGGGUCAUUGGAAACUGGAAAACUUGAGUGCAGAAGAGGAAAGUGGAAUUCCAUGUGUAGCGGUGAAAUGCGCAGAGAUAUGGAGGAACACCAGUGGCGAAGGCGACUUUCUGGUCUGUAACUGACGCUGAUGUGCGAAAGCGUGGGGAUCAAACAGGAUUAGAUACCCUGGUAGUCCACGCCGUAAACGAUGAGUGCUAAGUGUUAAGGGGGUUUCCGCCCCUUAGUGCUGCAGCUAACGCAUUAAGCACUCCGCCUGGGGAGUACGACCGCAAGGUUGAAACUCAAAGGAAUUGACGGGGACCCGCACAAGCGGUGGAGCAUGGUGGUUUAAUUCGAAGCAACGCGAAGAACCUUACCAAAUCUUGACAUCCUUUGACCUUCUAGAAGAUAGAAGUUUCCCCUUCGGGGGACAAAGUGACAGGNGGGGGCAUGGUUGUCGUCAGCUCGUGUCGUGAAANGGUUGGGUUAAGUCCCGCAACGAGCGCAACCCUUAAGCUUAGUUGCCAUCAUUAAGUUGGGCACUCUAAGUUGACUGCCGUGACAACCGGAGGAAAGGGUGGGGAUGACGUCAAAUCAUCAUGCCCCUUAUGAUUUGGGCUACC
rnacentral:rRNA from 1 species